GACGUAGGGCGCGAGCGUUGUCCGGAUUUAUUGGGCGUAAAGGGCGCGUAGGCGGCUUUGCAAGUGACGGGUGAAAUCCCUCGGCUUAACCGAGGAACUGCCUGUCAGACUGCAUGGCUUGAGACCAGGAGAGGUGAGUGGAAUUCCCAGUGUAGCGGUGAAAUGCGUAGAUAUUGGGAGGAACACCAGUGGCGAAGGCGGCUCACUGGACUGGUACUGACGCUGAGGCGCGAAAGCGUGGGGAGCAAACAGG
rnacentral:rRNA from 1 species